rnacentral:rRNA from 1 species
AACGGAGGGUGCGAGCGUUGUUCGGAAUUACUGGGCGUAAAGCGCGUGCAGGCGGUCUCUUAAGUUCCGUGUGAAAUCCCCCGGCUUAACUGGGGAACGGCGCGGAAAACUGGGAGACUUGAGUACGGGAGAAGAGGGCGGAAUUCCCAGUGUAGAGGUGAAAUUCGUAGAUAUUGGGAGGAACACCGGCGGCGAAAGCGGCUCUCUAGACCGAUACUGACGCUCAUACGCGAGAGCGUGGGUAGCAAACAGG